rnacentral:tRNA from 1 species
GGGAGUGUGGUGUAAUGGUAGCAUACUAGAUUUGGAUUCUAGGGGAGAGGUUCGAGUCCUACAUUUCCA